AGGACGAACGCUGGCGGCGUGCUUAACACAUGCAAGUCACGGGGGCUCAGCAAUGAGCAACCGGCGAACGGUGCGUAACACGUGAGCAGCCUGCCUUUGUGUGGGGAUAGCCGGGCUAACGCCCGGGUAAUACCGCAUACGGUCGCUGGGAGG
rnacentral:rRNA from 1 species